GACAGAGGAUGCAAGCGUUAUCCGGAAUGAUUGGGCGUAAAGCGUCUGUAGGUGGCUUUUUAAGUCCGCCGUCAAAUCCCAGGGCUCAACCCUGGACAGGCGGUGGAAACUACCAAGCUGGAGUACGGUAGGGGCAGAGGGAAUUUCCGGUGGAGCGGUGAAAUGCGUAGAGAUCUGGAAGAACACCAAAGGCGAAGGCAGCAUCCUGGGAAGUUCCUGACGCUCGGGUGCGAAAGCCAGGGGAGCGAACGGG
rnacentral:rRNA from 1 species